rnacentral:misc_RNA from 1 species
AAGAGUGAAGCGCAUUAAGCCAAAAUCAAAGACACCUUGAAGUCAAGUGGAGAAAUUGUGUUUAAAUUGGGUUGUUGGAUGAUAGCAAGGAAUCAGCCGGAAAUUUUAUUAACUUUAUUUUUGGGUUUCGGACUCUUUGGUUUGUUCAUUUACACUAGUGGACUUCCAGCCCCAAAAAUGUAUGGGUGGAAGUAUGCUGCUUAGGAAUUUUCCGUUUUCUUUCUAUGAAUUUGUCGCGGUUAACGCGCAAUACAUUCCAAGGAUGAGAGUAGUGGGCACAUGGAAGGGCGUGGAGUUGCCCUAUUAGCCGAAUGCGGUGUCAAAGGAAAAAUGUGAGUGUAGCAUUUGAAAAAUUUGGUGUUUGGUAAAAUUAAUUUACCCGAAAUGAACCGCGUAGAUAUUUGUAUCACUGUGUGAAAAUAUAUUUGCAUAAUUUUCAAACUGUUUUAAUGUUAAAAAUUUAUUAGCGUCUUUCGACAGAAAAUGAGUGGGGCUGACGAACGAGUAGUUAAGUGCGCAAUUGUACCCAUGUGUAUCCCGAUCGAAGACGGGUGGUAAAGAGUAAAUUUUACAGUGCAUACAUUUCUAUGUGACAUUAAUUAUAAAUUGACAUAUAGAUUAUUUAAUUUUCCAGUUA